ensembl:lncRNA
AUUUGCUUUUUGUUCCCAGAGUGGGAGGCAAGCACACAGGUCUUCUCUUCUGAAAACCAGACACCAUGGGAGAGAGUGCCCCAUUGGCUAAAUUCAACUAGACACUAGACACCAAGGGAGCCCCCGGAUCUAACCCAUAAACGACGUGGAGAAGGAGCCAGCCGUUCUGAUGGGUGUGAAGUGCUUUCUCACCGUGGUUUUAAUUCGCGUUUCUCUGAUGGCGAAUGAAGUUGAGUCGGUUUUCGUGUGUUAACUCACCGCCUAGUAUAGCUCUGUUCGAUGUCAUUGAGAUGAAACUGUAUGGAUGAACAGAAAAUGAUGGAUAUGGUUUGUGGAAGACAAGAUAUGCCAGGUCGCCUGACAAUGCCAUCAUGAGAGGAGGGAAGAGCAAGAGUGUGGCUGGGAACAUGAGGAACACUCACGCUGUGCUGAGCCUCGGAUCUCCUCCAGGAUAUCCCAUUACAUUUAGAUGUCAUGUGUCCUUAGGCUCCUCUUGGCUGUGACAGUUCCUCAGACUUUCCUUGUUUUGAUGACCUUGGCAGUUUUGAAGAUUACUGGUCAGGUAUUUGGUAGAAGGUCCCUCAACUGUUUUUUUCCUGCUCUUUUUCUCAUGAUUAGACACAGGUUAUGGGUUUUCAGGAGACGUCCACAGAGGUAAGGUGCCAUCCUCAUCAUGUGAUAUCAAGGGUACAUGCUGUCAACGUGCCUUAUCACUGUUGAUGUCGACCUUGAUCACCGAAGUGAGGUAAUGUUUGUUGGGUCUCUCCACUGUAAAGUUACUCUCUCCCCCCUCUUUCCAUACUGAACGCUAUGACGGGAAGUCGUCAUGCACAGCCCACACUUACGCAAUGGGGGUGAUGCUCCACUUCCUGGAGGACAGUGUCUCUCCAUAAAUUAUUUGGGAUUCUUCUCAGCACAAUCUUCCAUAACCAACUCCUACCUACCUUUUUGGCCUCGUCCAGCUGCUCCCGAGCUUCCCGACUCCAGGCUCAUCACCUUGCAGGUCAGCACCUGCGGAUCCUGGCUAGCACCAUUCUUUCUCUCAUCUCUUUGUUCUUGGCUAUUGCUUCUCUCUGUGCUGGACGUCCCUUGUCUGCCUCCCUUGCAUGUUCAAUUCCUCUUUAACCUUCAAGACUGCUUGCUCAAGUGCCCUGGACCCUAGGAAAUCUUCCUAGAACCCAGUCUGCAUUCGGGGACUUUCCUUCAAGUCCCAAAAUACUCUGUGCAUGUCCCCAUCGUGGCAUUCAUCCCUCUCUAUUGUUCAUUCUUAACACUCUCCCCUGUUAGACUGAGAGUUCAAGAGCAGAGGCUGUCUUUCCACCUGCCGUUCUAUCCCCUGUGCUUGUAGAGUGCACACAUAAGACACUUAGUCAAUGUUUUUUGAAUGAAAGAAUAACUAAAAAACUUUCAGAACCCCAGCUAUGAGAUUUCUUCUUUGAAUUUCCAGUCCUUCUGUCUUGUCGACCAUCACCAUAUUCUGCCUUGUAUUAUGGUUACUUGGGUACUUGUCUUACUGAUUGUAAUAGCUCCAAUGGUCUUCAAGGGCUGCGAGCAUGUUUUGUCUCACAUGGAAUUUUGUGAUGUUUUUCACUGCCUCUGUCUUUCCUGUAGUUUCUAGGACAGCGUCUUGCACAAAGUAGGUGUUUAAUAAAUCUUUGUUGAAUGACUGAAUGAGUUAAUGAACAAAUAAAUGAAGCUACCU